AGCGGCGGACGGGUGAGUAACACGUGGGUAACCUACCUAUAAGACUGGAAUAACUCCGGGAAACCGGGGCUAAUGCCGGAUAACAUAUAGAACCGCAUGGUUCUAUAGUGAAAGAUGGUUUUGCUAUCACUUAUAGAUGGACCCGCGCCGUAUUAGCUAGUUGGUAAGGUAAUGGCUUACCAAGGCGACGAUACGUAGCCGACCUGAGAGGGUGAUCGGCCACACUGGAACUGAAACACGGUCCAGACUCCUACGGGAGGCAGCAGUAGGGAAUCUUCCGCAAUGGGCGAAAGCCUGACGGAGCAACGCCGCGUGAGUGAUGAAGGGUUUCGGCUCGUAAAACUCUGUUAUUAGGGAAGAACAUAUGUGUAAGUAACUGUGCACAUCUUGACGGUACCUAAUCAGAAAGCCACGGCUAACUACGUGCCAGCAGCCGCGGUAAUACGUAGGUGGCAAGCGUUAUCCGGAAUUAUUGGGCGUAAAGCGCGCGUAGGCGGUUUCUUAAGUCUGAUGUGAAAGCCCACGGCUCAACCGUGGAGGGUCAUUGGAAACUGGGAAACUUGAGUGCACAAGAGGAGAGUGGAAUUCCAUGUGUAGCGGUGAAAUGCGCAGAGAUAUGGAGGAACACCAGUGGCGAAAGCGACUUUCUGGUCUGUAACUGACGCUGAUGUGCGAAAGCGUGGGGAUCAAACACGAUUAUAUACCCUGGUAGUCCACGCCGUAGACGAUGAGUGCUAAGUGUUACGGGGUUUCCGCCCCCUUAGUGCUGCAGCUAACGCAUUAAUCACUUCUCCCUGGGGAGUACGACCGUCACGCUUGAUACUCAAAGCCACUCGACUGGGACGCGCACAGCUGUCGAGCAUGAUGGUUUAAUCGUAGCAACGCGAUAGCAUACCAAUCUGACAUCGUUGACACUCUAAGAUAAGCUUUCGCUCGGCGUACAGUGACAGUGUGCAUGAUGUCGUCACUC
rnacentral:rRNA from 1 species